CCAAUAUUUGUAUCUCAAAAUCAAGUUGGUUAGGUUAGAACAAAGGAAGCCAAAGUAGAUUUAGAAACAUGAAGUACGAACACCAACAAUAUUGCUGCUCCACAGUCUCGCAUUAAAAUUAAGUGCCAACAAAGCAAGUGAGGAGGGAAAACUCAAGCUUCAGAAUAUAUCAAACCAAAUACCCACAAUGCAUCUAAAUUAUGGGAAAAGAUCAUGGGACAAAGGGUAAGAUGUAAACAUCCCUACCUCUAACUCUAAAAGGGUAGCACAGUUGUAUGUGUAGAGACCACGGUGACUUGAAUAAAACAAAAUCUGUUAAAUAGCACCAAAUAGUAAAAACAGUAGCAGCAUAUAGAAUAACUGAACAACUGCGAUUAUCAACUCAGCUAGAGCUAAGAAGUCCAGAAGUCACUUGUAUCAAUUGGAAGAGAUAAACACCUGACUCCUGAGCAUAUGGAUUAACAAAAGAUCACUGUUGACUACUGAACUCUCCAUACUCCUCAGAUGUAGGACUGGGGAGUUACAAACUUGCCCACUUAAAUUCCUAACAUCCCCAUGUCAAAUCCCGAGUCACAGUCCUCGAUAUGGGACUGAAGUGUUACAUAUACUUCUCAUCUACUGAAUGUACUCUCAAAGAUGUUGGAAAUCAGUUAAAUAACAACAUUGUUCUGACUUCACUUUAGGUGGCGACACGAAAUCCAUGAAUGAACUGAAAAUUGAAGUAGCCUCAACUGACAAACUAAAAUAAGCUUAAACAUAGAAAUUCUUUUCAAAAUCCAGCCACCAUUUACAGCGGACCUCGAUGUCUGUUAUAAAACAGCUUGAUCAUUAAUAUUUUCUCAUAACUCAUAUGUAAACACGUGGUAUAAUAAUGUCAACAGAGCUUUUAAGGUAUAUUAACAAAGUUGGUCCAGGAGUCUCGGUGCUAACAACACAGCAAUUAUUCAAGGGCUAAUAUGCACAGGACAGGCAACCGAGUUGAUCAAGUUAUAUCCAGCUUGUUGUUGAAAGCAAAAAUUACUGCUCCAGCAUGUUCAGUUGCAUUCCUGACAAUUGGCAAUAGAAUGAUGAUGAUGAAGCUUACAGAUAAUCCCCAGGAGGCUGAUGCUUCCUGUAAAAUUCUUAUAUCACUCAAAUUUAUACCAAUAGAAUAGAAAAAUUAUAUGAUUUCAUUAGAUUAAUCAAAUUCUAUUCAGAUAAUAAUGAAGGGAAUAAGUAGGCACAAUGUUUAAUUACCUCAGUAGUGCCAACAACAUACUCAGAUAACACUGAUAUAACAACAGUCAUAACAGCCAGCCAGAUAAAUCCACUCCAGAAUCCUGUAACAGGUGUUUCAUCUGAAACUAAAUCAUCUUCUUCUUCAUAGACAGCAUGACAAAAAAGAAAUUCCAAAAACCAUCUUAACUAUAUAUAUUAAAUUCAAAUAACACGAGUUGCAUCUUCUUCUCCACACAUAAAAGUAAAGAAAAAUGUACCUAUUGGGCUUCAAAAACUUCGUGAUGAGUCCACAACUGGGAAAAAAGGCCCUGGCUGCAUGCAACAUCACCAAUUAGAACCUCAGUAUCAUAGAAAGCCACAAAAGGAGUAAUCCUACUACCAUGAUCAUUGGCAAAUAUUUCGACGUGGUUACCUUACCAAACUCAAUACAUGAAUACAUGGUUCCCAGAUCAAUUCAAAUUGCAGGUCCUCAUUUUCCAGCCAUAACAUCACCAAUUAGAACCUCAGUAUCAUAGAAAGCCACAGAAUAAGGAGUAACCCUCCUACCAUGAUCAUUGGCAAUGAUUUCGACAUGGUUACCUUGCUAAACUCCAAUACAUGAGCAAUUGCAGGUCCUCAUUUUCCGGCCAUUCCGUAAAAUCAAGCAUAAUAGUGCAAAUGGAAACUCACAUAAAAAUAAAGAGUUUCUCUGCCAGAGUGAGUAAUUUGCAGAAAGGAAAAAAUCUGAAGUAAAAGCAUUCUUUUUCUCUGUCCCUUUCUUGUUCACUUUUAGCUUCUGCUCUGUACAUCAGCUUCUUUUACCAUCUUUUACAAGCUCUUCGUUUAACAACCUCUCCUCGUUAUAGGUUGUACUUCUAAUCUUAUCUUUUGUCCCACACAAGCCUUUUAUUCUCUCCUAUAAACUGCUCUGCAAAUCUCGAAUCCAAUCUUUUCAUAAAUAUCUGGAACCAAAACCAAACCCUAGAAUCAACUAAAAUAAAUUAUAAUAUCUUGAACCAAAAUAAAUCUUGGAAUCAACCAAAAUAGGCACCCAAAUAAAUCAACAAACAAAGAAGAUAUAACUGAUCAACAUGGGCGGAACCGAGGAUUAACGGAGAUAUAAAUGGAUAAUAAAAUGGCACAAGCAGGCCAUAUCAAGACCUAUAACUCAGAUAAAAUUCAUUUGAAUUAUUGAUUAGACCUUCAUCUACCGGAAGUCCUAUAUAAAAAGGAAAAGAGUCUUUGACUUUUAUAUGACNUAAAAUGCGGUUAAAACCACACCGCACCGCAUUUAAUAUAUUAUAUAAAAAAAUAUUUAUAAAUAUUAUAUUAUAUGCGUUAAUAUGCUAUAUUAUAAUUUUAUUAUGCAUCCAUCUAAGCAGUUUUAUUUUUAUAUGAAGCCCAUCAAAUCUGGGCAGCGUUAUAAAAACAGAAGUGUCCUACAUAUGCAGCAGGGAAGCAAGCACCAGUAGUCUGGUCUGUUCUUGUAAAUUACUCGGUGUUUACAAAUUUGUCAGAACUAGCUUUAUAGCCCGUGCAAGGCACGGGCAAGCUCUAAAUUAAUAUAUUAUAAAUAUUUAUAAUGGGUGGGAAAAGUUGGAGUGCUAGAAAGGUCGUAAAUAAUAAACACCCAUGAUGAAUGUAGAAUUUGAAAAGGUCUUGUAAGUAUGAAUCAAAAGAGGUCAUGGAGUGUCAUUCAAAAAGAACGGUAUUUUUGUUACUUGAUAAAGAUCUUAAAACGAUAAACAAAAAAUAAAUAGAUACUUCAAAAUAGAAUUUCCAGGAUUUACGAGGAAUGAGUUGUAGAGAUAUAAAUUACACAUGUGCCAAUAUUUGUAUCUCAAAAUCAAGUUGGUUAGGUUAGAACAAAGGAAGCCAAAGUAGAUUUAGAAACAUGAAGUACGAACACCAACAAUAUUGCUGCUCCACAGUCUCGCAUUAAAAUUAAGUGCCAACAAAGCAAGUGAGGAGGGAAAACUCAAGCUUCAGAAUAUAUCAAACCAAAUACCCACAAUGCAUCUAAAUUAUGGGAAAAGAUCAUGGGACAAAGGGUAAGAUGUAAACAUCCCUACCUCUAACUCUAAAAGGGUAGCACAGUUGUAUGUGUAGAGACCACGGUGACUUGAAUAAAACAAAAUCUGUUAAAUAGCACCAAAUAGUAAAAACAGUAGCAGCAUAUAGAAUAACUGAACAACUGCGAUUAUCAACUCAGCUAGAGCUAAGAAGUCCAGAAGUCACUUGUAUCAAUUGGAAGAGAUAAACACCUGACUCCUGAGCAUAUGGAUUAACAAAAGAUCACUGUUGACUACUGAACUCUCCAUACUCCUCAGAUGUAGGACUGGGGAGUUACAAACUUGCCCACUUAAAUUCCUAACAUCCCCAUGUCAAAUCCCGAGUCACAGUCCUCGAUAUGGGACUGAAGUGUUACAUAUACUUCUCAUCUACUGAAUGUACUCUCAAAGAUGUUGGAAAUCAGUUAAAUAACAACAUUGUUCUGACUUCACUUUAGGUGGCGACACGAAAUCCAUGAAUGAACUGAAAAUUGAAGUAGCCUCAACUGACAAACUAAAAUAAGCUUAAACAUAGAAAUUCUUUUCAAAAUCCAGCCACCAUUUACAGCGGACCUCGAUGUCUGUUAUAAAACAGCUUGAUCAUUAAUAUUUUCUCAUAACUCAUAUGUAAACACGUGGUAUAAUAAUGUCAACAGAGCUUUUAAGGUAUAUUAACAAAGUUGGUCCAGGAGUCUCGGUGCUAACAACACAGCAAUUAUUCAAGGGCUAAUAUGCACAGGACAGGCAACCGAGUUGAUCAAGUUAUAUCCAGCUUGUUGUUGAAAGCAA
rnacentral:lncRNA from 1 species